AUUUUCUAUGGAUCGCCAAGAGCACUUUGUUCUUGUAUUCGUCUUAUGUUUCUUGUUCAACCUGCAUCAAUCAUCAGUAACCUCUGAAAGCCAUUGAGAAUGUACCUUCCUCUAUGUGUACUACUACAAACUUUUCCAUGAAAGGCCAUAACAUCUGAUGCAUAAACAUCAUAAAAGUGCUGGGUGCAUUGGAUAGUCCAAACGGGAUGACCAUCCACUCGUACAAUCUAUGCUACGCCUUGAACGUCAUCUUCCAUUCAUCUCCAAGCCUUACUCCGAUUUGGUGAUAUUCGCUUUUAAGGUCAAUUUUUGAGAAGACCUUAGAACAGGACAACUAAUCCAACAUAUCAUCUAGGAAGGGAAUUAGAAACUUGUACUUCACUAUAAUAUUGUUGAUUGCUCUGUUGUCUACACAUUCUCCAAGAUUCAUCUAUACAUGGACUCAUAUUGUCACGAAUGUAGCCCCUCUCCAACAAUUCCACCACCUGUCGAUGUAACUCUUCAACUUUCUUGGGGUUGAGGCAAUAUGCUAGUCGAUUAGGCAAACUCGACCUCAAAAUAAGGUCGAUAUGAUGUUGAAUAUCCCUCAUAUGGUAACCUCAGAGGAAGAUCUUCUAGCAUCAGGUCAAAGAACUCCGUUAGUAGCUACUGCACUUUUGCUAGUAAGUCUAAAUCCUCAUUCACUGCACUGUUCUCACGAGGUAGUAGAGCAUAGGCUACAUCUUCACUCCCAAUCUUAACUAGGAACCUAGACAUGGAAAAGAGGUUGGUAUUAUUAACUAUUGGGGGCAUGGAUAGUUUCUUCCCUACGAGGUGCCAACACAAUCUUCUUCUCUCUAAUGCUAAGGGAAUAUUUAUUCUUUCGUCUAUCAUGAAUAACACUGCGAUCAUACUGCCAAGUUUAUUUCAACAAUACAUGAUAGGCAUCCAUAGACACAACAUCACACCAAGCAUUAUCAAAAUAUUUCAUGCCGAUUGAAAAAGACACCAGACACUAUUUUUCUACUGUUACCUCACUGCCUUUAUUCAACUAUGAUAACUUGUACGGCUUGGGUGACGAUCUAUCUUCAGGUACAAUUUCUGGACAGCCUCUUCAAAUACUAUAUUCUCACAAUUGCCACUAUCAUUGAUCAACUUGUAAACUUUAUCGACAACUGUACUGGUCGUGUGGAAAACAUUUGUCCUCAAUUAAACAUCUCCUAAAUCUCCCUUAGGAGUUAGUAGACUCUUACGUAUGACUAGAGUCUCUGGCCAUCUCCAUACAGCAUGUCUUCGUCUUCACCAUCAUCAUAUACAUGUUGUCCAACCUCCUAAAAUUUCCUUACUAAAUCCUCCUCAAUCAAGAGAUUUUUAUUCUUCUGACUAGCCGACUUCCUGCAAUUAGUCGCCCUAUGUCCUUGAUCACCACAUCUGAAACACUU
rnacentral:lncRNA from 1 species